UUUUUUUUUUUUUGACCCCACUCCUUCUCUUACAUAACACCCACAUACAUAUACAUCCAUAGAUUUAUAAUCUCUCCUCUCUUCUCUCUCAUCUAUAAUUGUCAGAAAAACGCUGCUUAGCAUUGGGUUUUUAGACAUUAUAUAACCAAUAUUUGUAUGUGUGUAUAUAAAGAUUGUGUCUUUCUUAAACUCCAUCGAGAAAAAUUCUUCAGUUGUGGCUACUACAAGGAGUAGGCAGCUUCUAUCCGACUCUGGAGCCUUUGCAGACUGGGCUACGUCCUCUUCUUCCUCAGCCAUCCGCGCCGCUGGCCCGGACGACCUUUCCCUCGGCUUUAAUGCCGGCCCUACCGCCGCGGCCGCCGCAGCAGCUGCUGCACCUGGGGGCGGUGCCACUGGCCCAUCGUGGUCUAGUUCAGCCAGACAAAUCAACUAUGGCAUCCCUCCUGAGAUGGGCAUGUUUGUUGUUAGCCCUGCUUCCUUUAAUCACCACCACCAGCAUCAGCACCAGCAU
rnacentral:misc_RNA from 1 species